GACAAUGGGGGAACCCUGAUCCAGCCAUGCCGCGUGUGUGAAGAAGGCCUUUUGGUUGUAAAGCACUUUAAGCAGUGAAGAAGACUCCGUGGUUAAUACCCACGGACGAUGACAUUAGCUGCAGAAUAAGCACCGGCUAACUCUGUGCCAGCAGCCGCGGUAAUACGGAGGGUCCGAGCGUUAAUCGGAAUUACUGGGCGUAAAGCGCACGCAGGCGGUUUGUUAAGCUAGAUGUGAAAGCCCCGGGCUCAACCUGGGAAUAGCAUUUAGAACUGGCAGACUAGAGUCUUGGAGAGGGGAGUGGAAUUUCUGGUGUAGCGGUGAAAUGCGUAGAUAUCAGAAGGAACAUCAGUGGCGAAGGCGACUCCCUGGCCAAAGACUGACGCUCAUGUGCGAAAGUGUGGGUAGCGAACAGGAUUAGAUACCCUGGUAGUCCACACCGUAAACGCUGUCUACUAGCUGUUUGUGGAUUUAAUCCGUGAGUAGCGAAGCUAACGCGCAUAAGUAGACCGUCCUGGGGAGUACAGCCGCAAAGUU
rnacentral:rRNA from 1 species